rnacentral:rRNA from 1 species
GUAGGUGGCAAGCGUUGUCCGGGAAUUAUUGGGGCGUAAAGCGCGCGCAGGCGGUUCUUUAAGUCUGAUGUGAAAGCCCACGGGCUCAACCGUGGAGGGUCAUUGGAAACUGGAGAACUUGAGUACAGAAGAGGAAAGCGGAAUUCCACGUGUAGCGGUGAAAUGCGUAGAGAUGUGGAGGAACACCAGUGGCGAAGGCGGCUUUCUGGUCUGUAACUGACGCUGAGGCGCGAAAGCGUGGGGAGCAAACAGGAUUAGAUACCCUGGUAGUCCACGCCGUGAACGAUGAGUGCUAAGUGUUAGGGGGUUUCCGCCCCUUAGUGCUGCAGCUAACGCAUUAAGCACUCCGCCUGGGGAGUACGGCCGCAAAGGCUG